UUUUAGGGAGACCUACACCCCUCAAAUCUUGAAAGCAAAAUGUAAAUAGAGAUUGAGUUGGUCUAACCUAGGUCGGUCGCAGACAUUUGCAUCAUGUAUUUGAAAGCUUCAAACU
rnacentral:misc_RNA from 1 species